UACGUAGGGUGCAAGCGUUGUCCGGAAUUAUUGGGCGUAAAGAGCUCGUAGGCGGUUUAUUGCGUCGGCUGUGAAAUCCCGAGGCUCAACCUCGGGUCUGCAGUCGAUACGAGCAAACUAGAGUGUUGCAGGGGAGACUGGAAUUCCUGGUGUAGCGGUGAAAUGCGCAGAUAUCAGGAGGAACACCGGUGGCGAAGGCGGGUCUCUGGGCAACAACUGACGCUGAGGAGCGAAAGUGUGGGGAGCGAACAGG
rnacentral:rRNA from 1 species